UACGGAGGGUGCGAGCGUUGUCCGGAAUCACUGGGCGUAAAGGGCGCGUAGGCGGCCUGAUAAGUAGGGGGUGAAAUCCUGCGGCUUAACCGCAGGGCUGCCUUCUAAACUGUCGGGCUAGAGCACGGUAGAGGCAGAUGGAAUUCCCGGUGUAGCGGUGGAAUGCGUAGAGAUCGGGAAGAACAUCCGUGGCGAAGGCGGUUCUCUGGGACGGUACUGACGCUGAGACGCGAAAGCGUGGGGAGCGAACAGG
rnacentral:rRNA from 1 species